GAUGAACGCUGGCGGCGUGCCUAAUACAUGCAAGUCGAGCGAACAGACGAGGAGCUUGCUCCUCUGACGUUAGCGGCGGACGGGUGAGUAACACGUGGAUAACCGACCUAUAAGACUGGGAUAACUUCGGGAAACCGGAGCUAAUACCGGAUAAUAUAUUGAACCGCAUGGUUCAAUAGUGAAAGACGGUUUUGCUGUCACUUAUAGAUGUAUCCGCGCCGCAUUAGCUAGUUGGUAAGGUAACGGCUUACCAAGGCAACGAUGCGUAGCCGACCUGAGAGGGUGAUCGGCCACACUGGAACUGAGACACGGUCCAGACUCCUACGGGAGGCAGCAGUAGGGAAUCUUCCGCAAUGGGCGAAAGCUUGACGGAGCAACGCCGCGUGAGUGAUGAAGGUCUUCGGAUCGUAAAACUCUGUUAUUAGGGAAGAACAAAUGUGUAAGUAACUAUGCACGUCUUGACGGUACCUAAUCAGAAAGCCACGGCUAACUACGUG
rnacentral:rRNA from 1 species